GCCGGGCGUGGUGGCGGGCGCCUGUAGUCCCAGCUACUCGGAGGCUGAGGUGGGAGAAUGGCAUGAACCCGGGAGGUGGAGCUUGCAGUGAGCCGAGAUCGUGCCACUGCACUCCAGCCUGGGUGACACAGCGAGACUCCAUCUCAA
rnacentral:SRP_RNA from 1 species